UCCUUCUUCCCUGUGGUCCAAGUCUUCACUGCACCUUCGUCGCUACUUCCUUGGCUUCUUCUUCUCUCUCUGAACUCUCAUUCUUCAUCUCCGCUGGAAGACUUCUGGUUGGGCUUCUGCGCCUGUAUGUAUCUGAUCGAAUAAGGGAUGUGGUUGUGAGCUUCUUAAACAUCUUAAUUUUCAAAUUGUGGAAAGAUGGUUUCAGAAUCUUGGUUUCGCAGUCUGUGGAAGCCUCAGAGAAAGCGUGAUUCCAGCACGCAGAAGGUUGUUAUUGGAGUAUUGGCAUUUGAAAUUGCUAGCUUGAUGUCCAGGUUGGUUCAUCUAUGGCAUUCUUUGAGCGAUAAGCAAAUUAGGAGGUUGAGGGAAGAUAUAACUAAUUCAUUGGGCAUAAAGAAGCUUGUGUCGGACGACGAUGAAUAUAUUGUACGUUUAAUAUGCUCCGAGAUGACGGAGAAUUUAGCUCAUGUGGCUAAAUCUGUUGCCAGGCUUGGGAAGAAAUGCAGUGAUCCUAGUUUGAAAGUCUUUGAGCAUGCUUUUGAUGAGUUCCUUCAAAUUGGUGCUGAUCCCUAUUGUUGGAUAUACUCAUGGAAGAAGAUGGAAAAGAAAGUGAAAAAGAUGGAGACCUUUAUUUCAGUCAAUGCAAAUUUGUAUCAGGAAAUGGAGAUGCUUGUAGAACUCGAGCAAACUUUCAGGAGGAUGAAGGUUAACGAUGGCACAUGUUCGGUGAACCUAGCUGAUUUUCGAAAGAAGGUCGAAUGGAAGCAGCAGGAAGUGAAAAAUCUGCGAGAGAUGUCACUUUGGAGAAGGACCUAUGAUUACACAAUUCUUCUUCUAGCUAGAUCUAUAUUCACAAUAUUCAGUAGGAUCAAACAUGUGUUCGGAAUCGAGCAGAGCGCAGGGAUUGAUGAAACAAAUGAUUCACGAGAUAUGAAUUCCGACUAUAUAGCACGUAGUCAAUCAGUUUCGUCGCUAAUGCAAUCCAUGGUCCAUCCCUCUGAGAACGGACUUACUAAAUUUGCAUCAGGUCCUCUAAAGAGGUUUACAACUAAAUCUGGGCCGAUUUCGAAAACAGCUAAGCCGAAUAAUUUUUAUUCAGGUCCUCUUGGCAGCUCUGUUACAAAAUCAGGUCCUAUUUUCGGCCCUGUUUCUGGAACAAAUAGAAACUUCAACUCUUAUUCGGGUCCUCUCACAAGUUCAACGAUAAGAUCGGGUCCAGUUUCUGGAAUAGACCAUAAAACCAAUCAUAAGAAUUGGUUUGCCGGUGGUUACUCUUCCCUAUUUAAUGGGAAAAAAUCUCAUCAGAAGCCAAAUAGACUGACUCAAGUUGGACCUUUUAAAGGAUGCAUGAUGUCUGGCCCUAGUUCUACGGUCACCAAUUGUCACAUUAGUUCAAAUGGGCAUCAUUCACAGCUUAUCAAUGGAGCCAAAGAUGCUGGAAAGAUAGUUGAUCCUUGCAACAAAGCCAACCCUUGCAGAGAGUUGCUCGGUACCAAGUGCCGAUUGUUGGACGCCCCGCCCGAGACUCUAGGUGGAGCUGCUUUGGCUCUGCACUAUGCAAAUGUCAUCAUUGUAAUUGAGAAGCUUGCUGCAUCUCCUCAUUUGAUUGGCCUGGAUGCUAGAGAUGACCUCUACAAUAUGCUGCCAGCUAAAGUUCGAGCUAGCCUUAGGGCAGCCCUAAAGCCAUAUGCCAAGAGCUUGGCUUCAUCUACCUAUGACACCGGGCUUGCAGUUGAGUGGAACGACGCAAUAGCUGGGAUAUUAGAAUGGCUUGCUCCACUGGCUCAUAACAUGGUUAGAUGGCAAUCUGAACGUAGUUUCGAACAACAGAAUUUUGUUUCCAGAACUAAUAUGCUUCUUGUACAAACCCUUUUCUUUGCCAAUCAAGAAAAGACCGAAGUCAUCAUUACCGAACUUCUUGUCGGUCUGAAUUACCUAUGGAGGUUUGGUAGGGAACACAAUGCGAAAGCUCUCAAUGAGUGUGCCAGCAGUAGAAUACAUGACGAACAUUUGGAUAUCGUCAGGUGACAUUCUUUUCCAUUCUAUUGGUAUUGGUAACUGAAACUGCACCCUAGUCGUCCAACGACAGGAGGCCUCCUCAGCUCUACAAGACCGACAUCGACCAAUUGGAAGCAGCACCAGAGAGAGAGCCACAACCGUCGCUACUUGGUUACAUUAUCAGUACUCCAAUACCAGAAGUCGCUAUCGACGAGAUAGCUUGGUUGCCAGUUAUCAGGAACAUUGAUUCUUGCCGUGGCCAUUCCUCAUGGAUUUCAUUGCGUGUUUGACUGACAUUGAUUUCUAGGUAUAUUUCACAAUUUCUUGGUGCUCUCUUUAAUUCUCAUCCUUAUCCACAUGUAGUCUUCUAGUGACUCGAUUGUGAAAGAUCCUGGUGGAUUAACUUCGAGCCAUCUUACACGCACAUUGAUCCUGGUGGUUUAACUUCGAGCCAUCUUACAUGCACAUUGAUUAUUAUGAUGAGAUAGUUGACUGAUUCAACUAUAUUUGAUUGUCAAGAUAGCUCGUAGGAUAUUAAACUUUAAGUUGGUGGUCACCAUAGAUUGAACCUAUUCUCUCGUAGUUUUUUACCCGCAAUUUAUUUGUUCUUAUUUCUUGUUUGGGCGAUAAUACCACCGCGAACCACAACGUGAAUCCACGAGAUUCUCGGGUAUGUGGUCCUUUCUAGGAAUUUAGGCAUGGAAAAUAGGGCAUCACAAGUCUCAAUCUUGAGUCUUGGCUACUUGCCUUCCACUUGUUGUGGUGUGAGUGGUGAAAUGAAUCAGCAUCCUUCUUUAAGAUGGAACAAUGAAGGAAGAUAUGGUGUUGGAAUUUCAUCAUUGCACCAUCACAAUUAUCCACCAACUAGGGCACACAACAGAAUAUUAUGAUUCCUUUCAAGUUCUUAUAUUGCUUCUGAAUUUUUCAACUUAGAACAAUGCCCAAGUUUAGUUC